rnacentral:rRNA from 1 species
UAGGGAAUCUUCCGCAAUGGGCGAAAGCCUGACGGAGCAACGCCGCGUGAGUGAUGAAGGUCUUCGGAUCGUAAAACUCUGUUAUUAGGGAAGAACAAAUGUGUAAGUAACUAUGCACGUCUUGACGGUACCUAAUCAGAAAGCCACGGCUAACUACGUGCCAGCAGCCGCGGUAAUACGUAGGUGGCAAGCGUUAUCCGGAAUUAUUGGGCGUAAAGCGCGCGUAGGCGGUUUUUUAAGUCUGAUGUGAAAGCCCACGGCUCAACCGUGGAGGGUCAUUGGAAACUGGAAAACUUGAGUGCAGAAGAGGAAAGUGGAAUUCCAUGUGUAGCGGUGAAAUGCGCAGAGAUGUGGAGGAACACCAGUGGCGAAGGCGACUUUCUGGUCUGUAACUGACGCUGAUGUGCGAAAGCGUGGGGAUCAAACAGG